rnacentral:lncRNA from 1 species
GAGGCAGGAGGAGGGCUCUGGGCCCGCGGCCUGACAGGGACUUAGCCCGCAGAGAUCGGCCCCGCGCGCGCGACCCCACACCCACCCUCUCAUCCACCUACCCAUACCCUGCGCCGCCUCCUCUCACCCUGAGCAGAGUCGCCGAGGAUGAUAAACACCCAGGACAGGUAACGGCCCGGCCCAGGCUCCCCGCCCCCAUCCUCCCCGCAUCUGCCUCAGAGGGCCUCCCCCCAUCCCCGGCCGGUUNNNNNNAGCGGGGUCCUGCCCCCCCCCCCCCCACUGGGUCCUUUCCCUACUUCAGCCACCCCAGUCCAAGCCCCAAACCCGCAACGGGGCCUCCUUCCGCCCUUUAGCCCCUUCCCUCCAGCCUGGCCCAUCCCCCUCAUCCGGGCCUCCUUCUCCCGCAAAGCCCCCACCCCCAACCCCCACGCAAACCAGGACUCAACCUUCGAAUCCAGUCCCCAUUUCCUUUAAGUCCUGUCGGACGGUGCCCCAUUCCCCAAACUGGGCUUUCUCCCUCAUCCACAUUCCCCAAAUUGUUUCCCAUUUCCCCAAAUCUAUCUUCCUCCCUCUUUGGUUACUUAACCCUUGGCUUUGACUCUCUUUCCUUGAAACUGCAUCCUCCAAACCCCUGUCUUACCACUGCCGCCCCUCCCCCAGUUAGGCUCCAACCUUCAGCUCUCAACUGGACUCAUUACCCCUUCCCCUCCCCCGCUUUUCUCAGGCCUAAUAGUUUUUACAGUGAUGCCCCACUGUCCCUCUGGUCCCUUAACUCCUGCUUUAUCUUUUCCCAUUCUUCCUCCUCGACACCCCUUUCCCAGUUAGCUCGUUUAUCCCUGGCUCCCAACCUUCUUCCUUUUAUUUUUCAAACACUUUGGACUUCUGUUUGCCGUCCUUUUCCCCUAGUGGGGUUCCCCCAACACUUCUAAACUCUCCUAUCCUCUAAACACUUGAUCUCAGCUGGAACUCAUUUUACUCUUAUUCUUCGCUUCUUAAUUGAAUCCCAUCAUUAGAUCACAGAACUCAGCCCACCCUGUUUCUAUUGAAGGCCUCCUUUCUUUCUCUGUACCUCCAAUGCCUGCAAAUCAGGCCCCAUACUCUGGAUACUGGGCCUUUGCAAGUUUCUUCCCUCAAAAUCUGAUCCCAGUCUUCUCCCAUUAAUUGGAGAGAAAGGCUGCACGUCCUUCUGAAACAGCACCAGUGGUUUUCUGAACUUGCCUCAUACAUACUUGCCCCUGCCCAAGCUAGGCAGAAUUUAUCACUCAGCUUUCCUCUCUCUACUUCUCUUUUUCCCAAGGCAGCCCUUGUUGUCAUCCAUCUCUUCUUCAAAUAUACUCUGUAUUUCUGCCCCCACACUCUUUGAAACUGCUCCAUAAUCCUGUUUCCCCACAAUUUUUAACCCUUGUUGUUUUUUUAUACAUCAGAAUGCCUUCUAUUUACAAUUUGGGUCUCAUUGUCUUCCUCAUUUUACCCCCUAGACUUGUUGCUGUCCUUUCCGAAAUGAGGCUGAAGCUCAUUUAGUUCUCCACACCAGACCCUUUGUCCCCAGAAUUGGCCUUAUGGCCUCUGCCCCAUACUUGGGUCUCAUUGUUUUGCAAGCAGGUCUGUUCCCUGUAUAUCCUCCUUAAAUUGUGCGGUGGUGUCUCCAGAGCUAGACUAUAGUUCUUUUUACAAACUUAUCCUUCCUUAUUGCUUUUCUUCCCAUAGGGCUCUACCUACCAUUCAGGGGUCCUCCCAAACCUGGGCUCCCUUCUCCCUAAGCUGGUCUCUAACUUGCCUUUUCCCAGUCCUUUAGCAGCACCAUCCUUAAAUAUUCCAGCUGUGUUUUUAGCUUUUCUUGUAUCUCCAUGUUUCUCAACACUGGUUGCUCAUUUGAAAAAAUCAGUCACCUGGACCCCACCUUCAAAGAUCUGGUGUAAGGCCUAGGGUGGGGCUUGGUUAUUUGUAUGUAUUUUUAAAGCUCCCUAGGUUAAUUCUUUGUAAUGUGCAGUCAGGGUUAAGAAACACUGCCUCCGCCCCCUCCCCCUCAAGACCUUUCCCAUCAUAUUUCUUUAGUGAAUGUCAGCUCUUUCUCUACUGAAAAGGGCCUUGUCUCCUUCAGGGGUUUCUUAGUUUUUCUUUCUCAGGUACUAUCCAGAAAUUCCCAAGAUACCCACAACAGCCUCUUAAAUUCUCCUACCUUGAGUUACUCAGUUCUCAGGCAUUAGACAUUUUCAUUCUCAGACUCUUACCUAGCCCCCACACCUCUAUUUCUUCCCAGCAUGCAGAAAGAAAAUCCACCCCUCAUUUCCUGGUUUGUUAUGGUUGUAUUUGACCCAUUACCCCUACCUCUCAAGGCUUCUUUACAGUCCCAUUCUGUUUUCUUUUUCGGAGGCUAUCCACUUCCAUGUCCCUUUGCAUUCCCGCUUUUAUUCCAUCUUCUCUACCCAGCCCCUCUGGAGCUAAGGAGGUGGAGGUGGAUGCAAAAGGUAUUGCUUGUGAUAAAGAAAGCCGUGUGUGAUGAGGAUAAGACAGCAGGUAUGAGAGAGGGCUGGAUGACGUGCAGGGGUGGAGGGAAGCAAAGAAACCUACAGGGAAGUCUGCUAAAAGGGUAUGAGAUGGGUUUUCUUUUCUGUUUUUAUGUUUUUGUCUCCACAGUGGGAUUUGGAGGGUGGUGUGGUCUCAGCAGGCAGUCUCUGGAGUCCUCUGGACUGAGCUGGUCUGGUGCCAAGUCCUUUGCAGGCUGAGCCUUGAGAGUUGGGCACUUGGAACCAAUACAUAAGGGCCUUGGUUGACUGUGAGGUUGCAAGACCUGAGUUCUAGAUCUGGCUUGGCUAGUGUGCUUCCAUAUAAAAAGAGGGGGUUGGGUUCGCUUAACUCAAGAUUCCUUCCAGCUUCCUAAGUGGCAAAACAGGCUUGCUUGUCUCCAAGGCCCUUAGUGUGUUGGUAAUUUGAGGGGCUUGGCUGUAUGAAAGGCAGGUGGAGGGAGGAGCCAGCUGGCCUGCCAAGUCCUGGGCAGGAGCAAGGCCUGGGAUCAGGCUCCUCCACUUUGGCCUGGGGGUGGGGUGGUGUGGUGUGGUGUGUGCAGGGUGUCUGGUUUCUUUGAGUUAUGGCAAUCCUAUUUCCAUAACAUGUUUCCCAGCCUUCUGUGGCCUGCCUGUAACUUUCUAAAGGGAUUCUGGUAGGCCCUAACUAGGGAUCCCGAUAAGAGCCGGAUGUUCUUCCCAGUCUGUGUGCUUGGUGUUUUGUAUCCGCAGAGGGGAGGGGGAGCUGGCUAGGAGUUGAGCUCUCAUUGGGUGGGGGAUGGGCUUUCUAGCUUCCCUGGCUCUAGUGAAAUACUCAAGAGGUGGAGGCUUGGUUUCCUGGAAGAAAUAGUUGCAGAGGAACCGGCAGUAUGUUUUGGAAACAAAGCUCUUCCUUUUCAGUUUUGUUCUGAUUAGUACCUCCAGAAUGUUAAAAUUCCUGAUGGUGGCGGAGGGAAGAAGACACAGAACAAGCACUUUUAUUAAGGUUUUUGAACAUGAGGUUUAAAUCCAAGGAAAUCCAGCUUCAUGGCCUUUCUCUCCCCUGGAUUUGUGGGGGCAAAAAGACAGUCUCUGUCUAGGGCCUGCUUAGCACCUGUGUAUGUGGAGAAGCGCCUGCCUGGGCCUUAUAUCUAUAUUAUAAACAAUCUUUGUCUGACGGGCUUUGAGAAGCAUUUGGUUCUACAGGUGUUUUCUCUUGGAGGUGGACAGGGCACGAGAGCACAUCAGAGCUACCCUGGGUAUCUUCACAGAAUGGUUCCCUGAGUGAUGGAAUUUCUUUCUCUUCCCCCAAAGAAUAUGGUUUUGCUUAUUCCUUAUUUAUUGGCACUAUGGCUUUUUGGGUAUGGGAUAGUAAGGAGAGCAAGUUUUCCUACCAUGUACCUUCAAGGUCAUUUCCACAGAGAGAGCCAGAGAGACUCCUAGUAUAGUUGGGAAUCCCCCCGAAUUGGAGGUAUGCUUCAGAAAGCAAUGUGGACUAAUAAUAGUAAUUCCUCAUGCUGCCAAGAAAUCCAAAUUUAACCUCAGAGCUGCUCAGAAAUAUAAAAAGGGGGACUGCGGAGUGGGUUAGAGGAUGUUAUAUAUGUGCAUUUCUAGAAAAAAAAAAAGUAAUUCAUCCCUUUUUGAAACAGUAUGCAGUGUUGAUUCAAGUUGGCUUCAUGACUCGUAAGGCUGUAAAGCCUAACUGAAAGCUAUAGACCAGAAAUAGCCAAGUAGGUGAGCAAGAAUUUUGUUACUUGAAGUGAACCAAACAGAUAGUUUCCUGUUAGCAGCAGAAUAAAAUGCUUUGCAUAAGAGAAUCCCUAGGAAAAUUUCCUAGGCCUUUGAUACCAUGUAAACAAUGAAGUAAUUCUGUCCUGGGAAGAGAGUCUGGAACUGGGUGAUGAGUUCACUAUACAAACUAGAUCAAGGUGGACACCUGGAUGGCUCAGUUGGUGUUCGACUUUGGCUCAGGUCAUGAUCUCAUGGUUGGUGAGUUCGAGCCCCACGUUGGGCUCUGUGCUGACAGCUCAGAGCCUGGAGCCUGCUCCGGAUUCUGUGUCUCCCUCUUUCUGCCCCUCUGCUGCUCACACUCUGUGUCUCUCUCGCCCUCUCAAAAAUAAACAUUAAAAAAAAAAAAACUGGAUCAAGGUACUUAAAAUGUAAAAUUAAGGUUUAAUUUUAAUGCAUGAGUACCUAGCUAUCCAUCCACCUCUGGCGUAUGUGGUUAUGCCUACCUUUGGCAAAAGAUGUACCAGUAUCAGUUGUGUUAUAAGCAGACCUCAGAGGCAGAUAUUCUGCUGCCAUUGUAAGUGUGUUUCUUAUGGAGAAUCAACCAAAACCCAGUUUUGCUUUCAGUCUGUGAUUCAGAGUGGUGAUGUCAUUUUCUUUAUAAUUGUGCUUAGCAAGUAGACUCCCUUUGGCACAUAGAACAGCCCUAGUGAAAUGACUUAUGCCUGGCAUCUGCCCAGGGUUCCUUUCUCAUAUGGGAAGGGAAUUGGCAGCUGGAAAUCAGCCUCUAAGGUCCCACUAGACUGGAGGUGGCCAUCACCUCCCACCUUUCUUCCUAUUUCUUCUUGGCUAAAUGUGAUGGCAGCCCUGGAUUGGUUCCUCUUUGCGUAGGGAUUAGUCAUCAGAGACCUUCCUAGUCUCAGUAAAAGCAGCCUGUGUGAGGGAAGUCUGAGCCUAGAGAGUGUUCUAUGAGGUAGGGCCUGAGACAAGAAUGGAUCAGAAGAGGUUGAGAGAGGGGAAUGAAUUUAGAAUGCUUGGGAAUGUGGUUUUUAUGUCUUUUCACUUGAUACCACAAAAUAGGUAAUACCAAGGCCAUCUAACACCCCUUCCGAUAGGUAAUGGAAACCAGAGAGAAAGGGUGCAGACCUAAGCAAGCUCAGGCCACUGAUUCAAGUGAAACAUGAUCAAAAGUAUAUCAAGGAGAAUAUGAAUUCACAUAUUUGUUAGAUGUAGCUGAAUGGAAGUUAGCCACAGAAUUACUUUUAUAUUAAAUCUCUACAUAGCAGGCUAUCCACUGCUUUGAGCAAACUAAAUAUAAAAAUCAAAACUGACAAAAAAUCAACUGGAAGUGAUUCUUUAAUAGAUUCUUUACUCUAUUAAGAGAUUUAAAGUUCCUUCCUUUAAAUAGUAAGCACCCUAGAGAUUUAAAAAUAGGAUUUGAAUUAUAAAAAUUUGAUUUACCAGCAACACUCCCCAGGAAUACAUCUGCUACGUGCAGUGCCUGUCUCUAGUCAGUGUAUGAAAUUAGACAUUUCAGGCAACGGUUUCACAGAAUGCUUUAAAUUAGAGGCAGCAGGAUGUGAUCUGUCGUAGCACUCAUAUGUAUCCUGAGGAGUGUUUCCAAGGGCAUGUCUGAUAACUGAGAAAAUAAAGACACUAACAGAUAGGCUCUGAUCUCCCAUCUUUCUUUUGAAUUGACUUGGAUACUUGACACCCUCAUUUCUAGCAUGGUAUAUUUGUUUCUUCUCCAAAAGCAAGACCAGACCAAGUGGAUGUUCGGGUUCAGGCUGAUAUAUUUGAUUGUUCUUAAUGAGCCUGAUCUUUCUGAUCAAGCCUGAUCAGGCUCUAGACUGAGCUGCUGCUUUUUAUUUUUUAAUGUUUAUUUAUUUUGAGAGAGAGCUCACAGUCGUGAGUGGGUUAGGGGCAGAGAGAGAGAGGGAGAGAGAGAAUCCCAAGCAGGCUUCACACCUUCAACAUGGAGCCUGAUGAGGGGCUCGAUCUCAUGAACCAUGAGAUCAUGACCUGAGCCGAAAUCAAGAGUUGGAUGCUUAACUGACUGAGCCACCCAGGUGCCCCUAAGACUGACUUUUUAAAUCCUCUUUUUGGUGUUAAAGAUUAAAUCAUGCGUUCCCCCCAAUGGAGUGAGCAAGAUGUGAGGAAGAAAUGGAAAAAGCUGGGCAUUGGAACCAGUAGAAACACAACUGAACUGAAUAUGAAACCUAACUUGGUUUGGAUCUUGUGACAGAAGGACCUGUGUUUAGAAGCCACUUUCACUGUACUUAAGUUCUUAAAAGAUUCACUGUUCUCUGUUGAGAUUGGUGGCAUAUUUUGCCACAAUACCAUUUCGAACAUUAAAGCCAAUACAAGAACAGAAGGCUGUUCUUUUUUAAAUUAAUUAAUUAAUUUUUUAAGUAUUCUUUACACCCAGUGUGGGGUUUGAACUCACGACCUUAAGAUUAGGAGUUGCAUGCUCUACCGACUGAGCCAGCCAGGUGCCCCUGUUCUUUUUUUUUUUUUUUUUUAAUUAAAGAAUAACUGACAUACUAUAUUGUUAUUAGUUUUUAGGCAUAUAGCAUAGUGAUUCAGUUUUUAUAUAUGUUUCAAAAUGGUGCCAUGUGUCAUGUACAAAGUUGUUACAAUAUUAUUGACUAUAUUCCCUAUGUUGUACAUCAUAGCCCCAUGUCUUAAUUUAUUUUUUACCUGGAGGAUUAUACCUCUUAAUCCUCUUCAUCAAUUUCAUCCUCUGGCAACCAUCAGUUUUCUGUGUUUAUAAGUCUAUUUCUGUUUUGUUUGUUCAUUUGUGGUGUUCCUUUAGAUUCCGCAUAUAAUUGAAAUCCUAUUUGUCUGACUUCUUUCAUUUAGCAUAAUGCCCUCUAGGCCCAUCCACGUUCUCACAAAUGGCAAAAUUUCAUUCUUUUUUAUGGCUGAGUAGUAUACCAUUAUGUAUAUAUAUAUCACAGCUUUAUCCAUUCAUAUAUUGAUGGGCAUUUAAGUGGCUUCUGUAUCUUGGCUGUUGUAAAUAAUGCUGUGAUGAACAUAAGGGUGCAUUAUCUUUUUGAAUUAGUGUUUUCAUUUUCUUCAGAUAAAUACCUAGAAGUGAAAUUGCUGGAUUACAUGGUAGAUCUAUUUUUAAUUUUUUGAGGAACCUCUGUACUGUUUUCCACAGUGGCUGCACCAAUGUCAUUCCCACCAGUAGUGCACAAAGGUUCCUUUUUCUCCACUUCCUCACCAACACUUGUUAUUUCUUGUCUUUUUGAUAUUAGCCAUUCUAACUGGUAUGAGAUGAUUGUAUCAUUGUGGUUUUGAUUUGCAUUUCCCUGAUGAUUAGUGAUGUUGGGCAUCUUUUCAUGUGCCUCUUGGCCAUCUGUAUGUUGUCUUUGGAACAAUGUCUAUUCAGAUCCUCUGCCCAUUUAAAAAAAAAAUUUUUUUUUUAACGUUUAUUUAUUUUUGAGACAGAGAGAGACAGAGCAUGAAUGGGGGAGGGUCAGAGAGAGAGAGGGAGACACAGAAUCUGAAACAGGCUCCAGGCUCUGAGCUGUCAGCACAGAGCCCGACGCGGGGCUUGAACUCACGAACCGCGAGAUCAUGACCUGAACCGAAGUUGGAUGCCCCAUCUCUGCCCAUUUUUUAAGUAGUCUCUGCGAGAGGCUUGAACUAAUGACCCUGAGAUCAAGACCUGAACUGGGAGUGAGUCAGACACUUAACCGACUAAGCCAGCCAGGCACCCUUCCUCUGCCCUUUUUUUUUUUUUUUUUUUUUUUGCCACACCCCUCCCCCUUUGCCCAUUUUUAAAUUGGAUUAUUUUUGAUACUGAAUUGUAUGAGUUGUUUUUGUUUUUAAGGUUUUACUUUUUUUUUUUUUUAAUUUUUUUUUUUUCAACGUUUAUUUAUUUUUGGGACAGAGAGAGACAGAGCAUGAACAGGGGAGGGGCAGAGAGAGAGGGAGACACAGAAUCGGAAACAGGCUCCAGGCUCUGAGCCGUCAGCCCAGAGCCCGACGCGGGGCUCGAACUCACGGACCGCGAGAUCGUGACCUGGCUGAAGUCGGACGCUUAACCGACUGCGCCACCCAGGCGCCCCAAGGUUUUACUUUUCUUAAAGUAAUCUCUGCACCCAUUGUGAGGCUCACACUCACAAUCUCGAGGUCAAGAGUUGUAUGCUCCACUGACUGAGCCAGCCAGACACCCCUGGCAGCCCUGUAUGAGUACUUUAUAUAUUUUGGAUGUUAACCCCUUAGUGGAUAUAUCAUUUGUGAAUAUUUUCUUCCAUUCAGUAGGUUGCCUUUUCGUUUUGUUAGUUUCCCUUGCAAGCUUUUUAGUUCUGUGUAGUCUCACUUGUUUAUUUUUUGCCUUUGUUGUCCUUGCCUGAGGAGACAGAUCCCAAAAAAUAGUGCUAAGACUGAUGAAGAGCUUACUGCUAUGUUUUCUAGGUGUUUUAUGGUUUCAGGUCUUACAUGUUAAGUCUUUAAUCCAUUUUGAGUUUAGUUUUGUGAGAAAGUGGCCCAGUUUUAUUCUUUUGCAUGUAGCUGUGCAGUUUUCCCAACACCAUUUAUUGAAGAGGCUGUAUUUUCCCCAUUGUAUAUUCUUGCCUUCAUUGUUGCAGAUUAAUUGACCAUAUGUGUAUGGGUUUGUUUCUGGUCUCCCUAUCCUCUUUGACCUAUAUGUCUGUUUUUGUGCCAAUACCAUACUGUUUUGAUUACUGUAACUUUGUAAUAUACUUUGAAAUCUGAGAGUAUGAUACGUUCAGCUUUGCUUUUCUCUCCAGAAUGCUUUGGCUAUUCAGGCUCUUUUGUGGUACCAUACAAACUUUAUGAUUAUUUGUUCUAGUUCUGAGGAAAAUGCCAUUGGUGUUUUGAUAGGGAUUGCACUGAGUCUUUAGAUUUGGGUAGUAGGAACAUUUUAACAAUAUUCUUCCAGUUCAUGUCAUGGUAUAUCUUUGCAUUUGUUUGUAUCAUCUUCAGUUUCAUCAGUGUCUUACAGUUUUCAAAGUAUGGGUCUUUUAUUUCUUUCAUUAAAUUUAAUCCUAGAUAUUCUAUUUUUUUAAAUGUUUAUUUUUGAGAGAGAGCACGAGUGGGGGAGGGCCAGAGAGAGGGAGUCACAGAAUCUGAAGCAGGCUCCAGGCUCCCAGCUGUCAGCACAGAGCCUGACAUGGGGCUCGAACUCAUGAGCCGUGAGAUCAUGGCCUGAGCUGAAGUUGGAUGCUUAACCAACUGAGCCACCCAGGCACCCCUCUAUUUUUUUUUUUUUUUCAUGCAAUUGUACAUGGGAUGGUUUUCUUAAUUUCUCCUUCUGGUAGUUAUUAGUAUAUAUAAAUGCAACAGAUUUAUAUAAAUUGAAUUGAUUUUGUAUCCUGCAGCCUUACUAAAUUCAUUUAUUCUAAUAGUUUAUUGGUGAAGGUGUUGAGGUUUUCUGUAUAGAGUAGCAUGUCAUCUACAAAUAGUGACCGAGUGCCUUGUAUUUCUUUCUCUUGCCUGAUUGCUGUUCAUGCCCCUUAAUUUCUUUAACCACCAUGUAUAUACCCAUCUUCCUGUUCUUCUCACUUCAGAAAUGGCAAUCAGGUUUUUUGAAAGAGAAGCAAUUUGCCAUUCACAGCAAAUAACUAAAAGCAGAUCCAUUAUGAUGGACAAUGAAGAGGGUUGUUGACUGUGAUCUCCAGUCUCCUAGGUUUAUCCUAAACUGUAGCUGUUUCUGGUAGGGAACUGGAAGUGGAUCUCAGGAUGGGGACCAGAAACACCCGUCCACCCUCACUCACAGACACUUGCUUUCUCAUGCAGACUUUGUGGGGUAGAAGGAGGAGUUUCCAGCAGCCUUGUUUAAGAGUGGGAGAAGUAAAUGAUUUGUCACCUUGGAAUAGACUUCUUGCAUUUACUUUAAGAGGAGUGAGCCACAUAGGUUAGUGCUGAACAUAGGGCAGGCUCUAGGGAUUAUUUCUAGGAAGAAGACAACGGGAUUCUGGAUCUAGAAAAAAGAAUCCACCUUAUUCUGAUCAUUUCAUUGGGUUGGCCCCAUUGCUUAUGACAUUUGCAAGUAAAAAUUAGCUCAUAAUCAAGAUGAUGGUUGGAAUGCCCAUCAAGGGUUGAAUGUAGCUCUCUCAUCUAAAGACCGGGGAAGAAUAAUUUCUCUGGAAGUAGAAGUCUGAGAUUGAGAAAUUGGCACCAAAGUUCUAGAAGUGCAAGGGCUUUGGUGAUCUGGUUUUGUGAACCCAUGCAGUUCUGGUAUAAAAGGCUACAUCUCAUCUUUCUACCCCAGAGGAGAGGUCUGCCCAGUUCUUAGGUAGCUCCACUGACCUACAGGCAAGCCAGCUUUCCUGGUGGCUUUCAGUGGCCCAGCCUUCCUGGUGCUCCUGCAGGAACCUCAACAGAGGCCUGAAGUGGUCCCUAGGGAAUGGGAACAGAACUUACUGUGGGGGGGUGGUGGUGGUGUCUGUGUGUGUACCUUUGCUUGGGAAAGCCCUCCCCCCGUCAUAAUUUUUUGUGGUCUGGAUACUCUAUUAUUCUAUCCCUUAACACAUUGGAAUGGGGGCAUUAUAAUCGUUCUUUGUCCUCAGUAGAAAAUAAGUCCCUCAUUGGAAACAGCAUAAUCCUCAGUCAUGCUUCUUCUGCUUCCUCUGUUACUGAGGCUAAGAGUAGGGGAGAUGAGGAUGGCCUGAGGUUUUCCAGAGGAGGCAGGAAAUGGUGCAUGUGUUUUUUUUUUUUUUUACCUCCAGGUGUUGAUGCUGCUCCGGGCCCACUGACAUUGCCCUGGGAACUCCAUCUCCCAAUGAAAUUUCUAAGUGUAAUUUCAGGCCCCUGGUUGAAAUCCUUGAGAGAAAGGGGAGCUGAGCUAGAGCAGUGAAGGGUUUGGACUUCCUGUCUCAGCUGUCUCUUAGUACUGAGGAUCUUAGCUGGAUGCCCUUUGCGUUAUUGUACCAUUGCCGUGUUAGGUGUGAGUUCAGUUCUGUCACUCUGAGCCCAAGUGAAGAACUCAAAUCUGGCAUGCCGUAUAAAGCAAAUAGUGUGAAGAAUGGGGCCUUGCAUUAUUUUGCAGCCGCCUUUUGGCGGGGGUGGGAGGGGGGAGCCUUGACUUCUAGCAUUUGAUGAUUUUUGUGGUGUAAAUACUUCCCCCAGAGCCAUUCAAGCUACCAGCAUGACCUCAUUAAACACGCAGUUGGGAAGAGAUGGGCACAGUCCUGUGAGCUGGCUCCAGCACCCACUGCAGUGUCCUCCUAUAUGUUAUCCAUUGCAUUCCAGCUGCCUGCUGCCUGGGGUGUUGGGGCCAAGGGACAGACCUAUUGCUGAGUUGUGUACACGCAGUCUGCUUCUUUCCCUGCUUCACUUGCCGCUGUCCUGUGAAGUGAGCAACAUCUCAGCUUAAGGAACUACUAAAUUGGAUUCAGAGAAGGCAGUGGAGCAGAUCUGGAGCCCUGUAGGGUCCACCUGAAAAUCAUGGUGGUAGUAAGAGUACACACCUGGAGAUCACAGGGAGCUCCCUGAGGAGCCUUUCACCCUCUCUGAUCCAUCUGAUUAUUGGCUUCCUUACUUAGUUCCUAGCAAAUCUACCUUCUAGCAACACCCCAUCCUUGAUACACAUGUACCUGAGUGUCCAUACCAGUCGUGUCAGUAUAAUCUAAACACCCAUGCCCUGGUUAGAGUCUAGCAAAGGGCAAGGAAGCCCAACAUUUGGUGGCAUACCAGGGACAAGCUCAGAACAUAAUACUCUGUACUACAGUGUACCUCUUCUCUGGAAGCCAGAUCCCUGGAUUUAAUUCAGUUCUUGACCGUGGGGAGAUUUGGGUCAUUGUCUUCUUGUUCAGUUCUUUUGUUUAGAUUGGGGAGGAAAAGUGGCCUUGGGUCCUCAAGGACAUGGUACCCCAUCCAUGUGGUAUCUUGAGGCCUAUAUGCCUCUCCAGCCAGAAGUGACUGUAUAGAUUUUGAGAUUCUGUCACAUAGGUUGUUGAGACACUGUUAGGGUAAGGAAAGGGACUGGUGGGGGUACAGGGUUCUAGGCCUUGAAGGCAAGCCAGGAUCUGGUUCCUCUCAAGGUUUGUCAGUGCCACAGAGAUUUGUUUGAUGUUUAACAGGUGCUCCUCUGGUCAGAUAUGUCCAACUGACUCCCUUAGCACUUCUGGGAUUCCCCCUGCUUUCUACACGAGGAUGGGUGUGCUUUAAGAGGGCAGACUACAUCUGGAAGCUAAAGCCAAAAGGAUGGGGGCAGUGGUGUAGUGCUUGUUUAGGGAGAACCGGGUAGGGGUUGGAGGGGAUGUUGAGAUGAGUCUUCAAGUCUUGGUGUUCACGGUCUUACCUUCUCUGUCUCUUGCAGUAGUAUUUUGCCUUUGAGUAACUGUCCCCAGCUCCAGUGCUGCAGGCACAUUGUUCCGGGGCCUCUGUGGUGCUCCUGAUGCCCCUCACCCACUGUCGAAGAUCCCCGGUGGGCGAGGGGGCGGCAGGGAUCCUUCUCUCUCAGCUCUAAUAUAUAAGGUAAGGAGGACUCUGGGCUGGAAGGCUUGGAGCAGAGCCCUCUCGGAUACCACUGAGCUGCUGCUUAAGGGCAGUAAUUGCGGCCCUUUGGUCUUCCCUUAAGCCAGGCCAGUAGGGGAUCGGGAAGAACUUUUUCAGUGGAGGCUGCCGUGUGGCUUUUGGGGAGUACUAGGAGGGGAGGAUAUGUGCACCAGCAAACACUGCCAUCUUCUCAGCUUGGUGGUCAGCGCUUCAGUGCCGGUUUAGGGUCCUGAGUGGGUGGGAGAAUGAUGAAUGGGAGGGGUGCAAGAACUCUUUUUGGUGUGACUCCUCAGUUUCUCUUGAGGUACCAAGGGCCAGGAGGAGCAGUUUUCCCAUUGUCAGAGACUAUUAGGCAUUCUGCUGUCCAUCCCAUACUAGCCUGAUAGGGGGCGGGCAGGUAGUGUAGCAGGGGGUAAUGAGAAGGGACUUUGCAGCUCAAUCAUCUGUCAUCCUGGCAGCCUAGGGUACAUCCCAAGAGCUUAAGAGAUUGCUGGCAGUCUGGCCUGAGAAUGAUCUGGGCUAGUGCAGUCAGCCCUUUGCUGCCUUUUAAUCUCCUGUGGUUGAGGCCCAGAAGUUUAGCUUCUCCCUAAGAUUGGCAUUGAAAGGUCGCAGGGUGGCUGAGUUCUGGUCUCUUGAGACUGUGCCCAGGGGAGACAACAUUGACCCUGCAGUCUACCUGGAAGCAGGCUUUGGUUGAGCUGGGCCCCAGCCAGACCCUCACAUAUAUUUUCAUUCGUUGCUAAUGUUGCUCUUUCAGAGAGAGAAGGGGAAGAAAGAGCAUGACGUUGGGGUGGGGGACACACAUGGGCUUAGAAUCAGGGAGACUUGGUUUGAGUCUCAACUCUGCCAUUUACUAGCUUGGGUCAGUUGUUUAAUUGUUCUGGGCCCCAGUGUGUCAGAUUUUAAAUGGGAUAUUAGUAACUACUUCACAUACUUGAGGUGGUGAUUGAAAAAUGGGAAAGCACCUUGCACAGAACUCGGCAUCUCAUGGACAUUUGGUAAAUAUUUCCUUUCCCAUUAUGCUGGCUUUUCGCUGCCAUCAACUUGUCUUUGUGCCUGAUGAGUGAUGGAUGGCUCUAUCUAGCCAGCAUGCAGCACUAUAUUUUCAGCGUGCUGUUUAUCCCAUGCUACCCUGAGAUUGGCCCAAGAAGACUCCCAGGACCCACCUAGGUUAGGGGGCCUAUAAUGUGGCCAGAGCGGUAGUGAUCUGGUCCUCUGAUCUGAUCUCCUCCCAGGACGAGAAGCUCACUGUGACCCAGGACCUCCCUGUGAACGAUGGAAAACCUCACAUUGUCCACUUCCAGUAUGAGGUCACUGAGGUGAAAGUCUCUUCCUGGGAUGCAGUCCUGUCCAGCCAGAGCCUGUUUGUAGAAAUCCCAGAUGGAUUAUUAGCUGAUGGGAGCAAAGAAGGGUAAGGAGCAAGUGCUGGGGGAGGGGAAGGAGGGCCCAUUCCAGAGAAAGGCAUGUGCUUAUUGGGGAUAACAGAUGAAUUAGGGAGUCUGACUUCUUCCCUAGCUCUAGGUUUCCCAAGCAGAUAACAUUUUGUACAAGUUAUUUUUAGCCAGUAAAACAGGCCUGCCAUAGGUUAUAGUUAAAGGGAAUCAUUAUCACAUUA